GAUGAACGCUGGCGGCGCGCCUAACACAUGCAAGUCGAACGAUUAAAGCACCUUCGGGUGUGUAUAAAGUGGCGAACGGCUGAGUAACACGUGGGCAACCUGCCCCUCUCAUUGGGAGAGCCACGGGAAACCGUGGAUAAUACCGAAUACUUCGGGACUUCCGCAUGGAAGACCCGAGAAAGCUCCGGCGGAGAGGGAUGGGCCCGCGGCCUGUUAGCUUGUUGGUGGGGUAGUGGCCUACCAAGGCAAUGAUGGGUAGCUGGGUUGAGAGACCGACCGGCCAGAUUGGGACUGAGACACGGCCCAGACUCCUACGGGAGGCAGCAGUGGGGAAUCUUGCACAAUGGGCGAAAGCCUGAUGCAGCGACGCCGCGUGCGGGAUGAAGGCCUUCGGGUUGUAAACCGCUUUCAGCAGGGACGAGGCGAAAGUGACGGUACCUGCAGAAGAAGCCCCGGCUAACUACGUG
rnacentral:rRNA from 1 species